CCUGGGUGACAGAGUAAGAUGGAAUAUGGAAUAUUGCUGGGAAGGGUAUGGUACCAGUCUUGAAAUAUUUCCCCACAGAUAACUUAUUAUUUCAUAGUAAGGCACCUUCAGAGUGGAGAAAUAUGUGGGCACCAUCUUAGCUGAGUAAUCAAGCUGAUCAUCAUAUGCUUCCUCAUACAAUGCCUGUACAAUAUUCUUGCCAAAAAUGUAACCACAAGGAGACAAUCCAUUGGUGAUACAUGCAACAAAAAAAGAGAAUAAUGGGUUAAAGAGUGAUGGAUGGAGACCACACUGAACAAGACAGGGAACUCUCUGAGGAUGAUGACUCCUGAGCAGAGACCAGAAUGAUGGGAAGGAGCCAAGUAUGAGAAGAUCUUGGUGGAAGGUGUUCUGGGAAGAGGGAAUAGCAAGUGCAAAGGCCCUGGGGAAGGAGUGAAUGAGGAGUAGAAAGACCAGUAUGGCUAGAGCAUUGUGGAAGAAAAGGAGAGUGAUAUGAUGUGAGAUUAGAGAGCGAGGUGAGGGCAGAUGUUGUAGGGUUUUGAGGCCAUAUGAGGAAUUUAGUUUUGUUUUUGGUGUAUAUAGUAGAGAUUAAUUUUUAAAUGGAUACAUAAUAUUUUUACAUAUUUAUGGGACACAUGAGAUAUUUUGUUACAUGUCUCACAUGUGUAAUGACCAAAUCAGGGUAUUUAGGAUAUCCAUUAUCUUGAGCAUUUAUCAUUCCUUUGUUUUGGGAACAUCUCAAAUCCUCUCUUCCAGCCAUUUUGAAGUAUAGAACACAUCGUUGUUAACUGCAGUCACCCUGCCAUGCUGUUGAACUGCAGUACUGAUUUUUUCCAUCUAACUGUAUGUCUGUCCCCAUUAACCAGACUCUCUUCAUUACCCCCACCCACACACUCUUCCCAGCCUUCGGUAUCUAUCAUUCUACCCUCUACCUCCAUGAGAUCAACUUUUCAGCUCCCAGAUAUGAGUAAGAACAUGUGAUAUUUGUCUUUCUGUGCCUGGCUUAUUUCACUUAACGUAAUGACCUCCAUUUUCACAGUAGGAGUUAAAUUUUAACAUACCAUACUCUGAGUAUGUAUCUGUGCUGAAUAACUAUAUUUACCCAUUUAUAUCUACAGCUAUAUCUAGAAACUACCUCACUAACACUACUCAAUUCAGCUGUUGGAAGACUUUAAAAUAUUUUUGGAACAACUUGUGCGUAUGAAUUUACUCUUUCAAUGACUCAAGCUAUACUCCAUAUUUAUUGGAAGCCAGUUACUAAGACCCGCUUACACUCAAAAGGA
rnacentral:lncRNA from 10 species